UACGAAGGUCCCGAGCGUUAUCCGGAUUUAUUGGGUUUAAAGGGUGCGUAGGCGGGUUAUUAAGUCAGUGGUGAAAGCCUACAGCUUAACUGUAGAAUUGCCAUUGAUACUGAUGAUCUUGAGUAUGAUUGAGGUGGGCGGAAUGUGUCAUGUAGCGGUGAAAUGCUUAGAUAUCAGGAAGAACACCCGUGGCGAAGGCGGCUCUCUGGGACGGUACUGACGCUGAGACGCGAAAGCGUGGGGAGCGAACAGG
rnacentral:rRNA from 1 species